rnacentral:rRNA from 1 species
AUAGUAGACCUGCCUAUGAUUUAAUUAAUGGCCGCAGUAUAUUGACUGUGCUAAGGUAGCAUAAUCAUUUGGUUUUUAAAUGAAAUCUGGUAUGAAGGGGGGAACGCUAAUUGGCUGUCUUUGUUAAAUUUUUUGAAUUUAUUGUCUUAGUGAAAAUUCUAAGAGUGAGCUAAGGGGCGAUAAGACCCUAUAAAUCUUUAUUAUAAUGAUAAGGUCUAAUAGGACUUUAGGCUUUUGAUUGAAUAAUUAGACUGGGGCGGUUCUUAUUAACUUAAGAGUUUUCAAAUAUUGAUCCAAUAUUAUUGAUUAGUUGAUUGAGUUACUUUAGGGAUAACAGGAUAAUUUGUUCAGGGAGUUCAAAUCGAAGGAUGAGUUUGUUACCUCGAUGUUGAAUUAAUCUUUUAGUAAGGUGAAGGAGCUUUAUUUUAUUAGUCUGUUCGACUAUUAAAGGGUUACGUGAUCUGAGUUCAAACCGGAGA